AUUGAACGCUGGCGGCAGGCCUAACACAUGCAAGUCGAGCGGAGCGGCGGACGGGUGAGUAAUGCCUAGGAAUCUGCCUGGUAGUGGGGGAUAACGUCCGGAAACGGGCGCUAAUACCGCAUACUAUCAGAUGAGCCCAGAUGGGAUUAGCUAGUGGGUGGGGUAAUGGCUCACCUAGGCGACGAUCCCUAGCUGGUCUGAGAGGAUGACCAGCCACAAGGGAACUGAGACACGGUCCAGACGCCGACGGGAGGCAGCAGUGGGGAAUAUUGCACAAUGGGCGCAAGCCUGAUGCAGCCAGGCCGAGUGUGUGAAGAAGGCCUUCGGGUUGUAAAGCACUUUCAGCGGGGAGGCGUUACCCGCAGAAGAAGCACCGGCUAACUCCGUGCCAGCAGCCGCGGUAAUAC
rnacentral:rRNA from 1 species